CCUAAUACAUGCAAGUCGAGCGCGGGAAGCGGACAGAACUCUUCGGAGGGACGUUCGUGGAACGAGCGGCGGACGGGUGAGUAACACGUAGGCAACCUGCCUGUAAGACUGGGAUAACUCGCGGAAACGCGAGCUAAUACCGGAUAAUACUUAUGAUCUCCUGAUGAUAAGUUGAAAGGCGGCUUUUGCUGUCACUUACAGAUGGGCCUGCGGCGCAUUAGCUAGUUGGUGGGGUAACGGCUCACCAAGGCGACGAUGCGUAGCCGACCUGAGAGGGUGAUCGGCCACACUGGGACUGAGACACGGCCCAGACUCCUACGGGAGGCAGCAGUAGGGAAUCUUCCGCAAUGGACGAAAGUCUGACGGAGCAACGCCGCGUGAGUGAUGAAGGUUUUCGGAUCGUAAAACUCUGUUGUCGGGGAAGAACAAGUAUGAUAGUAACUGAUCGUACCUUGACGGUACCCGACCAGAAAGCCACGGCUAACUACGUGCCAGCAGCCGCGGUAAUACGUAGGUGGCAAGCGUUGUCCGGAAUUAUUGGGCGUAAAGCGCUCGCAGGCAGUUCUUUAAGUCUGAUGUGAAAUCUUGCGGCUCAACCGUAAACGUGCAUUGGAAACUGGAGGACUUGAGUGCAGAAGAGGAGAGUGGAAUUCCACGUGUAGCGGUGAAAUGCGUAGAGAUGUGGAGGAACACCAGUGGCGAAGGCGACUCUCUGGUCUGUAACUGACGCUGAGGAGCGAAAGCGUGGGGAGCGAACAGGAUUAGAUACCCUGGUAGUCCACGCCGUAAACGAUGAGUGCUAGGUGUUAGGGGUUUCCGCCCCUUAGUGCUGAAGUUAACGCAUUAAGCACUCCGCCUGGGGAGUACGCCGCAAGCUGAACUCAAAAGAAUUGACGGGACCCGCACAGCGUGGAGCAUGUGUUUAAUUCGAAGCAACGCGAGAACCUUACCAGGUCUUGACAUCCUUUGAACCCUCUG
rnacentral:rRNA from 1 species